rnacentral:rRNA from 1 species
UGUGUAGGCGGCUCUCUAAGUUUGGUGUGAAAUCUCCCGGCUCAACCGGGAGGGUGCGCCGAAAACUGGAGGGCUAGAGUGCGGGACGGGAGAGUAGAAUUCCUGGUGUAGCGGUGAAAUGCGUAGAUAUCAGGAGGAAUACCGGUGGUGUAGACGGCUCUCUGGACCGCAACUGACGCUGAAACACGAAAGCGUGGGUAGCAAACAGGAUUAGAUACCCUGGUAGUCCACGCCCUAAACGAUGCAUAUUUGGUGUAGGUCAUUCAGUUGAUCUGUGCCGGAGCUAACGCGUUAAAUAUGCCGCCUGGGGAGUACAGUCGCAAGGCUGAA